GACGAACGCUGGCGGCGUGCUUAACACAUGCAAGUCGAACGGAAAGGCCCUGCUUUUGUGGGGUGCUCGAGUGGCGAACGGGUGAGUAACACGUUAGUAACCUGCCCUUGACUUUCGGAUAACUUUAGGAAACUGGGGCUAAUACCGGAUAGGAGCUCCUGCUGCAUGUUGGGGGUUGGAAAGUUUCGGCGGUUGGGGAUGGUCUCGCGGCUUAUCAGCUUGUUGGUGGGGUAGUGGCUUACCAAGGCUUAGACGGGUAGCCGGCCUGAGAGGGUGAACGGCGAAAGUGAGACUGGGAUACGACCCAGAAUGCAACGGGAAGCAAAAGUGGGGAGUAUGGCAAAAUGGGCGGAAGUCUGAUGCAGAAACGCCGCGUGCGGGAUGAAGGCCUUCGGGUUGUAAACAGAUUUCGCCUGUGACGAAGCGGGAGUGACGGUAAUGGGUAAAGAAGCAACGGCUAACUACGUG
rnacentral:rRNA from 1 species